UUUGUGACUCGGGAUUGCUCCACUCCAGUGAGGACCUUGCCAGUGCUGUCUUGCAAGGACCAGGUGUAAACAUAAUGCCUGGCUGCGGUAAAAGCGCUCAGGAAGGCUUAACUGUCACCGCCAUCCGGGUUGAAAAAGGUAUUUUGGGCGAGGACAAGCACUUCUUGCGUGUUCGUUGUCGGCACCUCGCCCUCCUUUCUCACCGUGCAGUGUUUCCUUUGCGGCGUGUUGCUUCCGUUCCAACACCAGGCGUCCCCGUCUUGAUGCUGAUCUGUGGACGUCCCUUACGGGAGUUUUGUCGUUUAUUUCAGCAUUCCCUCAUUGAAGUACUUUCUAACCUUUAGUUAUUGUACAUAACGCUGUGGCGAAUGACCUUGUUGGCACCUCACUUUUUGCAUAAAUUGCAAGUACUGGGACUGCUAGGUCCAAAAGUAUAUGCAUUUAACACUUUAUCCCUCAUAAAUGUUGUGCGGUUAAUACUCCCACAGGCGUGUGAUCAUACCUGUCUCCAUAGCAAUUGCAUCUGGGAACUGCCUACAUACGAAGAAAUCUUAAGGUCCAUGGUUGUUAGGUAUCAAAUGCCCUAUAAUGGAUGAAUAUUUAGGAUCCAUUAUUAGGAUGGAUGAAUAUUUAGGAUCCAUUAUUAAGAUGGAUGAAUAUUUAGGAUCCAUAAUUAUAAUGGAUGAAUAUUUAGGAUCCAUUAUUAGGAUGAAUAUUAGGAUGAAUAAUGGGUGAAUAUAAUGGAUAGAUAAUAGUACAUUCACUAGAUGCUGUCUGACACAGCUACUGAAAAUACUGAUGAAGAGUGAGGCCCGAAGUGGUGACUCACACUUGUAAUUCCAGCACUUUUGGAGGCUGAGACAGGAGGAUUGCUUGGGGCCAGGAGUUCAAGACCAGCCUGGGCAACAUAACGAGACCCCCCCAUUUGUACAAAACAGUUAAAAAUUAGCCGGGCAUGGUGGUUCGAGCCUGUAGUCCCAGUUACUCCCAAGACUAAGGCAAGAGGAUCCCUUGAGUCCAGGAGUUCAAGGCUGCAAUGAGCUAUGAUUGAAUGCUGACUGCACUGCAGCCUGGGUGACAGCAAGACCGUAUCUACCUGAAAAAAACAAAAACAAAAACAACUUUAAUAGAAAAAUCCUCAAGAGUCUGCUGGGCGCAGUGGUUCAUGCCUGUUAUCCCAGCACUUUGGGAGGCAGAGGUGUGUGGAUCACCUGAGUUCAGGAGUGCAAGAGCAGCCUGGCCAACAUGGUGAAACCCUGUCUCUGCUAAAAAUACAAAAAUGAGCCAGACAUGGUGGCGGGCGCCUGUAAUCCCAGCUACUGGGGAGGCUGGGGCAGGACAAUCGCUUGAAACCGGAAGACGGAGGUUGCAGUGAGCUGAGAUCUCGACACUGCACUCUAGCCUGGGCUAAAGAGUGAAACUGUCUCAAAAGAAAAAAAGAAAGAGCCUGAAAGAAAAAGAAGAGCCUUCUGUGAUUCAUCCAAGAAGCCCUCACUGAGCUCUUAUUCCGUGCCAGACUCUGUUGUAGGUGCUGUAGAUAGGGCAGGGACCAGGACCCGCAAAUGCGUGGAGCACAUUCUAGUAUCAGGGAUACUCCAAGACUUGUUAAAUCCUCGCUACCACUGGCCCUAAAGCAGGAGGCAUAGGGCUGCCUGUGAGGAGGAGUCUGUUGCAUGGGCUUUCUGCAGUUUGGAAUCUGCCCUUUAGCUUUAGAUUUUUGAGUUUGUCCUUUGUGUCCUUUGCACAGUGUCCCUCCCAGUUUGCACCCAUGGCUGCCCCUCAGAGGCCCCCUACUCCCAGUGAAUUUCACACCAAGCAGUAUAUACUUUAAGCCAUACAUCUUAAUUAUGUUCCAGACAUUUGAAAACUCCAUUUAUGUGUUUUUCAGUCACAAACACUGUUUAUGUAGGUGAGGAGCGUACUUCAGGCACCCUCUGUGAUACCUCGCCACCAGUGGGCGAUACCUUGCCAUCAACAGCAAUAGUAACUUUCACCCCUUUUGUGAUUCUCCUAACGGUGCAUGUUUAGUAGCGGUUUGGGGAACAGCCUGAAGUGAACAGGGGUCUGACAUGCUGUGUGAAGCGGGCGUUGAACAGGUGGGAUGCUUUCAGAGCCAGAGCUUUCCCUCUUUCCUUCUUGACAACUUGACCAGUUUUCAUUAGAAAACCCCUUUGGAGGUUUGCACUCAGAGCACUGAGUACCCACUGAGUGUCCUGAAUUAUGAAAUGAGCUCAGUUUCCAUUAAGCUGAAUUUUUUGCUCCCAAAUAAGUGUCGAUUUCUGAUUUAUGACUGCUUUCCAUGGUAGCCCAAUAGUCAGCUGAAAAAGCUGAUUAUUUUGGGAGGUCUGGAGAGAUGUGCAUGGUCAAUCUCAAUGGUGGCAUUGGUGCAAAGGGUAGAACCGUGCUCGUUCUUGCUACCCUGAGAUGGGCUGCUAUCUGUUUCCUUUGCUGCUUUGUUUUUUUCUGUCAGUUUUAAAGGUGGAAGAAGGCCUAUAUCUUUUUCUGUGGGUGCUUCAAGUGUUGGAAGUGGAGGCAGCAAUGACAAGGGGAAGCUUUCUCUGCAGGAUGUGGCUGAGCUGAUUCGGGCCAGAGCCUGCCAGAGGGUGGUGGUCAUGGUGGGGGCCGGCAUCAGCACACCCAGUGGCAUUCCAGACUUCAGAUCUCCGGGGAGUGGGCUGUACAGCAACCUCCAGAAGUACAAUCUCCCGUACCCCGAGGCCAUUUUUGAGCUUCCAUUUUUCUUCCACAACCCCAAGCCCUUUUUCACUUUAGCCAAGGAGCUGUACCCUGGGAACUACAAGCCCAAUGUCACUCACUACUUCCUCCGGCUGCUUCAUGACAAGGGGCUGCUUCUGCGGCUCUACACGCAGAACAUCGAUGGGCUUGAGAGAGCAUCAGGUAUCCCUGACUCAAAGCUGGUUGAAGCUCAUGGAACCUUUGCCUCUGCCACCUGCACAGUCUGCCGAAGACCCUUCCCAGGGGAAGACUUCUGGGCUGACGUGAUGGCAGACAGGGUGCCCCGCUGCCCAGUCUGCACUGGCGUGGUGAAGCCCGACAUCGUGUUCUUUGGGGAGCCGCUGCCCCAGAGGUUCUUGCUACAUGUGGUUGAUUUCCCCAUGGCAGAUCUGCUGCUCAUCCUUGGGACCUCCCUGGAGGUGGAGCCUUUUGCCAGCUUGACCGAGGCCGUGCGGAGCUCAGUUCCCCGACUGCUCAUCAACUGGGACUUGGUGGGGACCUUGGCUUGGCAUCCUCGCAGCAGGGACGUGACCCAGCUGGGGGACCUGAUUCAGAGUGUGGAAAGGCUAGUGGAGCUUCUGGGCUGGACAGAAGAGAUGCGGGACCUUGUCCAGCGGGAAACUGGGAAGGCUGGAGUGCAAUGGCACAAUCUUGGCUCACUGCAACCUCUGCCUCCUGGAUUCAAGUGAUUCUCCUGCCUCAGCCUCCCGAGUUGCUGGGAUUACAGGCGGCCACCACCAUGCCUGGCUUGAUGGACCAGACAAAUAGGAUGACGGCUGCCCCACACAGGAAAUGGUGACAUAGGAGCCAUCCACAUCCCAUCUCUGAUGAGACCUCAUGCCUGAAGACAGCUUGGGCGGGUUUACAUGUUUGGUCAAACCAGAAUAUGUGAACUGAGCGGACAUCUGAGGCUGCCACAGGACUGUCUUCCCAGGCUAUGAGCUGUGCUGACUGGUAGGGCUGUUUACAUUCAGGGGCACCCGACACAUAUGCAAAGGAGCUGCCUGCCUGCCUGCCUGCCUGCUUGCUGUGUUUAACUCUUCACUCUGCUGAAGCUCGGAAUGGAAAAAGCUUUCUUCUGACAGGGACCCUCUUGAACUGAAACAGACUAGAAUCCCAGACUGGGUCUGCUUUCUCUGUGCCAAGUCCCUGUCUGAGGGCAAGCUCAGCAUCCCUGGUUAGAAGAUCCAGACUCGGGCCGAGCAGCCCCCAGCCCUCUUCGUGUCCUGAAGUGCAGUCUUGAGGCCCUGGUGCUAUACUUCUAGCAUGUUGGUCUCCUUUAGUACGGCUGUUUUUAGUUAGAGAAAACCUGUCCUUUAUUUUCAGCAGGAAAUACAUUUUAGUCUCCUCAAAGGGACUGCAGGUGUUGACAUGAGUUGGAAAAGUAACCCUGGGGUACACAGCAUCCCCUCUGUUGGAACAGUCCGAGGAUUGAAGGCACUUGUCUCUGGGUUUAUUGGAGAUGGCCCAGCUUCUUCCUCUGAAGGUGGUCAUGUUCUGUUGACUUUGAAACAUCUGUUCCAGAAUAUUCUAGCACUUUCUCUCUGGUCUCCUUGUCCCCACACUGCCCCCCCGCCCCAGGGCUUCCUCCAGUGACACCGCUAGAGCUAAUCUCUGAGACUAGUGAGGAGGAAUUACUCACUGAAAACCCAGGCUGAGUCCUGGCCACCUGCUGGAUUGUGACCUAGGAGGGAGAAUCCACUGAGCUCCUAGUUCUGCACAGGCUGCUGCUCCUGGGGCUGCACCAAGGCCCAGCUCUGAUGGCUCACCCCUUCAGGUACCAGUGGCUUCCCCUUGGGCUCUUACCCACAUGCAAGCAGCUCCUCCCUAGCAUCAGAUCACCUGCGUGUUUCCCCAGACAAAAGCACUUCCUGUUCCUGAACAUUGCCUCCCCUGGGCUGAGCUGACGGGAAUCCAUUUAAUGACUGACUCCCAGGAAGGGGGCUCUGACUUGGCUCCUCAGUAAGAACGAAAGACAGAAGUGGUGACCUAGGAAAAGUGUUGAAUUCUAAAAGGAAUGAAAUUAGUUUCUAACUCUA